rnacentral:rRNA from 1 species
GACGAACGCUGGCGGCGUGCCUAAUACAUGCAAGUUGAGCGAUGAAGAUUGGUGCUUGCACCAAUUUGAAGAGCAGCGAACGGGUGAGUAACGCGUGGGGAAUCUGCCUUUGAGCGGGGGACAACAUUUGGAAACGAAUGCUAAUACCGCAUAACAACUUUAAACAUAAGUUUUAAGUUUGAAAGAUGCAAUUGCAUCACUCAAAGAUGAUCCCGCGUUGUAUUAGCUAGUUGGUGAGGUAAAGGCUCACCAAGGCGAUGUUACAUAGCCGACCUGAGAGGGUGAUCGGCCACAUUGGGACGGAGACACGGCCCAAACUCCUACGGGAGGCAGCAGUAGGGAAGCUUCGGCAAUGGACGAAAGUCUGACCGAGCAACGCCGCGUGAGUGAAGAAGGUUUUCGGAUCGUAAAACUCUGUUGGUAGAGAAGAACGUUGGUGAGAGUGGAAAGCUCAUCAAGUGACGGUAACUACCCAGAAAGGGACGGCUAACUACGUG